UACGUAGGGUGCGAAGCGUUGUCCGGAAUUAUUGGCGUAAAGAGCUCGUAGGCGGUGUGUCGCGUCGGUCGUGAAAACUUGGGGCUUAACCCUGAGCUUGCGGUCGAUACGGGCAUGACUGGAGUUCGGCAGGGGAGACUGGAAUUCCUGGUGUAGCGGUGAAAUGCGCAGAUAUCAGGAGGAACACCGGUGGCGAAGGCGGGUCUCUGGGCCGAUACUGACGCUGAGGAGCGAAAGCGUGGGGAGCGAACAGG
rnacentral:rRNA from 1 species